rnacentral:snoRNA from 1 species
UGACCCAUUCUAAUUCUUGUAGGUCAGCCUUUGCCAUACCAGGUAUUGUUUUUGUGCCAGAGGACCUCAGAAGACUCACCUGAAUGAGUGAGCAGUUUUUGUGAGGUUACGCCACAGGGUCCCUGAGACACUC